AUUGAACGCUGGCGGCAUGCUUUACACAUGCAAGUCGAACGGCAGCAUGGGUGCUUGCACCUGAUGGCGAGUGGCGAACGGGUGAGUAAUGUAUCGGAACAUGUCCGGAAGUGGGGGAUAACGUAGCGAAAGUUACGCUAAUACCGCAUAUGCCCUGAGGGGGAAAGGAGGGGAUCGCAAGACCUUUCGCUUUCGGAGUGGCCGAUAUCAGAUUAGCUUGUUGGUGAGGUAAAGGCUCACCAAGGCGACGAUCUGUAGCUGGUCUGAGAGGACGACCAGCCACACUGGGACUGAGACACGGCCCAGACUCCUACGGGAGGCAGCAGUGGGGAAUUUUGGACAAUGGGGGCAACCCUGAUCCAGCCAUGCCGCGUGAGUGAAGAAGGCCUUCGGGUUGUAAAGCUCUUUCGGACAGAAAGAAAUCGCCAUCUCUAAUACAGGUGGUGGAUGACGGUACUGUAAGAAGAAGCACCGGCUAACUACGUGCCAGCAGCCGCAGUAACAC
rnacentral:rRNA from 1 species